AAUCAACGCUGGCAGCGUGCCUAACACAUGCAAGUCGAACGCGAAAGUCCCGCAAGGGAUGAGUAGAGUGGCAAACGGGUGAGUAACACGUGGGUGACCUGCCUUCGAGUGGGGGAUAACGUCCCGAAAGGGACGCUAAUACCGCAUAACAUCCUGCCUUUGAACAGGUGGCGAUCAAAGCUGGGGACCCGCAAGGGCCUGGCGCUGGAAGAGGGGCCCGCGUCUGAUUAGCUAGUUGGUGGGGUAAUGGCUCACCAAGGCAACGAUCAGUAUCCGGCCUGAGAGGGCGGACGGACACACUGGGACUGAGACACGGCCCAGACUCCUACGGGAGGCAGCAGUGGGGAAUUGUUCGCAAUGGGCGCAAGCCUGACGACGCAACGCCGCGUGGAGGAUGAAGACCU
rnacentral:rRNA from 1 species